rnacentral:rRNA from 1 species
GAUGAACGCUGGCGGCGUGCCUAACACAUGCAAGUCGAGCGAUUCUYUUCGGAGAAGAGCGGCGGACGGGUGAGUAACGCGUGGGUAACCUACCCUGUACACACGGAUAACAUACCGAAAGGUAUGCUAAUACGGGAUGAUAUAUAGAAAUCGCAUGAUUUUUAUAUCAAAGAUUUAUCGGUACAGGAUGGACCCGCGUCUGAUUAGCUUGUUGGCGGGGUAACGGCCCACCAAGGCGACGAUCAGUAGCCGACCUGAGAGGGUGAUCGGCCACAUUGGAACUGAGACACGGUCCAAACUCCUACGGGAGGCAGCAGUGGGGAAUAUUGCACAAUGGGCGCAAGCCUGAUGCAGCAACGCCGCGUGAGCGAUGAAGGCCUUCGGGUMGUAAAKCUYUKUCCUUCAAGGAAGAUAAUGACGGUACUGAGAGAAGCCCCSRKUUUUMGGGG